rnacentral:rRNA from 1 species
GUGAGGAAUAUUGGACAAUGGGCGCAAGCCUGAUCCAGCCAUGCCGCGUGCAGGAAGACGCAUCUAUGGUGUGUAAACUGCUUUUGUACGGGAAGAAACACUCCCUCGUGAGGGAGCUUGACGGUACCGUAAGAAUAAGGAUCGGCUAACUCCGUGCCAGCAGCCGCGGUAAUACGGAGGAUCCAAGCGUUAUCCGGAAUCAUUGGGUUUAAAGGGUCCGUAGGCGGUUUAAUAAGUCAGUGGUGAAAGCCCAUCGCUCAACGAUGGAACGGCCAUUGAUACUGUUAGACUUGAAUUACAAGGAAGUAACUAGAAUAUGUAGUGUAGCGGUGAAAUGCUUAGAUAUUACAUGGAAUACCAAUUGCGAAGGCAUGUUACUACUUGUGGAUUGACGCUGAUGGACGAAAGCGUGGGGAGCGAACAGGAUUAGAUACCCGGGUAGUCC